AUAUCAUCCUCUUGCCAGUCAGAAGUCAUCUGCUUUUCUGCACUCCGAUGCCAUUGCCUACGCGUACAUGUUAGAGCAAAGCGAGAAAAACAGAGAGAGCGCGAGCAAGGAGAGGGGCAGAGGCAGAGGGAGAAGCCGACUCCCGGCUGCGUAAGGAGCUGGAGGCGGGGCUCCGUCCCACCGCCCGGAGAUCGAGACCCGAGCUGAAGGCAGCCGCUUAACCGGGCACCCGGCACCGGGAAGAGAGUCUUAGCGGACUCCGCGCUGCAGGAGCCGGAGGCCGGGCUGUAUCUCACGCCCCGGAGGUUACAGCCUGACCUGAAACGAAGAGUGGGUCGCUCAACUGACUGAGCCACCCAGGUGCCACUGCACCCAUUAUUUUCUCCAUUCACUUAGUUUGCCAUCUAUCGGGUGGAAUGUCAGAAACUCAAAGAGGCAGGACUCCAUGCCAAGGUUGUGACAAAUCAAAAUUCUACACUGUGUUUUCAAGUUGGCCUGUUGGAGUUAUUUUGUAUAAUACACUUUUUGCAGUGCAUCUUCCAAGAGGUUUCCUGGUUUCAAAAGUCACAAAGGGAAGCUGAAGAUAGAACUUGCAUUUGAUAAAAACAGGAAAUUGCCACAGUCACCCCAGCCUUCAGCAGCCACCACCCUGAUCAGUCAGCAGCCGUCAACACUGAGGCAAGACCCUCCACCAGCAAAAGGAUUAUGACUUGCUGAAAGCUCAGAUGAUGUGUCAUUGUCCCCCCAAUACUUUGUUGGAACUCCAAGUCCUCGGGAAGCUGAUCUGAUAGGAUCACUUCGUCAAGAUUUAUGAGGACCAGUUUCCAAAGCCCUAGCUGUGAGUCGAGUGGGAGGGCCAUUCCGGGUACGGAGAGUCUGAGUCUGGGGACGAGCCAAAGACGGGAAGAGCAGAGGUCCGGGAUGAGGGACACACACAGCAAAGGGCCAACAAGCCGGCUGGAAGGAGACUGGAGCCGGCCGGCCGUUGUAUUCCUCUGCCAGCACUAGCAGCCGAUCGGGGUUUGAGAACCAGCUGCACCACUUUCUAGGCACACGGCUUUAAGCAAAUCCUGUAACUUUUUAUUUAAACGUCAGAUUUUUUCGCCCCUCCAUCUGAGAUGCUGAGGAAAUAAUAGUAGCUCCAUCUGCUCAAAUGAUUGCUGUGGGCAUUGCACUGAGACGUACUGGUCAGAACAGCCAUCUUGGGCCAUGUGGUACCUUCAGAGAGAGGCCUCACUGGUGGAACACUAAGAUGAUGGGAGCCUGCAUGUCUGAGGACAUCAUGGAACUGUCACUGUCUUACCUGUGGACUGCCCACCUCUUGACUUCCAGGAGUGUUUUCGUCCCUGUUAGUUCUGUCCCCUGUUCCUAGCAGCAGAACCCUUCUGAGGCAACAGAGCACCAGCUGUGGAUGCUUUGAGGAGAGGUGAGAUUGGAAGUGGGGGUGGCGAUGUUCUCAUUGAUUCCCAAAAGUGGUCUCAGGAAGGAAGGAGACACUGCCUGUGGUAGGAUGUGAGGCCAGUGGGACGGGUCGGUCCUUCCACCUGCACUCAGACCACAUGGCAACUGCCCUGCUGUUGCUUCAGCAUCUGCAGCAGGCAGUCCUCGAGG